GCCUUAUAGCUAGCCGUAACCCAAACCUAAAUAUUCAUAACAAAUAACCACUCAUAAGCCUAAAAUACUACACUAAACCAUUCUUCCCCCUUAGUAUGUGCGACAGAAAAGGAUAACCGAGCAAUAGAAAAAGUACCGCAAGGGAAAGCUGAAAGAGAAUUGAAACAACGCGUCAAAGCACAAAAAAGCAAAGAUUUACCCUUGUACCUUUUGCAUCAUGAUUUAGCCAGAAAAAUCAGGCAAAGAGCCCUUCAGUCUGAAGCCCCGAAACUAAACGAGCUACUUCGAGACAGCAUAUAAGAGCCAACCCGUCUCUGUAGCAAAAGAGUGGGAAGAUCUCCAAGUAGAGGCGACAAACCUAACGAGUUUAGUGAUAGCUGGUUGCUUAGGAAAUGGAUAUAAGUUCAGCCUUACACCCUCUUAAACCAAAAUUAUAAGACCCAAUAAGAAAAUAAGAUGCACGUAAGAGUUAGUUAAAGGAGGUACAGCUCCUUUAAAACAGGACACAACCUUAACAGAUGGGUAAAGAUCAUAUUACACAAGGUAACCUGCUACAGUGGGCCUAAAAGCAGCCACCUGAACAGAAAGCGUUGAAGCUCAGACAGGAACAAACCUAUUAUACCGAUAAAAAAUCUAACCCCCCUACCUAUACUAAGCCAUAUUAUGACCCCAUAACAGAAAAUAUGCUAAAAUUAGUAACAAGAAAGUACGACUUUCUCCUAGCACACGUGUAAGUCAGAUCGGACCCACCACUGACAAAUAAAGAACUCAACAGAAGAGAGCAAUGCGAACUUAAUAAUAACCAAGAAAACUUCACACAAGCCAUCGUUAACCCAACACAGGAGUGCAAUAAUUAGGAAAGAUUAAAAAGAGCAAGAAGGAAUUCAGCAAACCCGGGCCUCGCCUGUUUACCAAAAACAUGGCCUCCCGCAAUCCAUAAAUGAGAGGUCUGACCUGCCCAGUGACAACCUGUUCAACGGCCGCGGUAUUUUAACCGUGCUAAGGUAGCGUAAUCACUUGUCUUUUAAAUGAAGACCUGUAUGAAUGGCACCACGAGGGCCCUACUGUCUCCUCCUCCCAAUCAGUGAAAUUGAUCUGCUCGUGCAAAAGCGAGCAUAAAACCAUAAGACGAGAAGACCCUGUGGAGCUUAAGAUACAGAAUUAAUCAUGCCUAGAAGCUAAUCCCUAAAGACAAAACAGCAACACAAGCAUAAUGACCCUAAUUUAACAUAUCUUCGGUUGGGGCGACCAUGGAGGACAACAAAGCCUCCAAGAAGAAUCAGGAGAUCAGUCCCACUAAUCUCUAAGAGCCAAGAGCUACACCUCCAAGCAACAGAAACUUCUGACUAAUAAUGAUCCGGGCCAUGCCCGAUCAACGGACCAAGUUACCCCAGGGAUAACAGCGCAAUCCUUUCCCAGAGCCCAUAUCGCCGAAAGGGUUUACGACCUCGAUGUUGGAUCAGGACAUCCUGGUGGCGAAAAUUUUACCAAGGGUUCGUUUGUUCAACGAUUAAAGUCCUACGUGAUCUGAGUUCAGACCGGAGUAAUCCAGGUCAGUUUCUAUCUAUGAAUUUUCCCUUCCUAGUACGAAAGGGCCGGAAGGAGAGGGGCCAAUACUUAAAGCACGCCACACCCCCACACAACGAAAACAACUAAAAUAAUAAGGGGGGAUCUAACCACAACCCUAGAUAAGGGUUA
rnacentral:rRNA from 1 species